ACUACGGGAGGCAGCAGUGAGGAAUAUUGGUCAAUGGCCGGAAGGCUGAACCAGCCAUGCCGCGUGAAGGUCAGUGCCCUAUGGGCGUUAAACUUCUUUUGUGCGGGAGCAAUAAUGGUCACGUGUGGCCAGACGAGAGUACAGUAGGAAUAAGCAUCGGCUAACUUCGUGCCAGCAGCCGCGGUAUUACGGGGGAUGCAAGCGUUAUCCGGAUUUAUUGGGUGUAAAGGGUGCGUAGGCUGUGAGGUAAGUCCGCGGGGAAAUGCCCCCGCUCAACGGGGUGAAGUGCCAUUGAUACUGGCUUGCUGGAAUGCGGAUGCCGUGGGAGGAAUGUGUGGUGUAGCGGUGAAAUGCA
rnacentral:rRNA from 1 species